rnacentral:lncRNA from 1 species
CUUGCGUUUCCUUCCAUCCUGCUCCAGGCCCAUUCUGAGCCUGGAGUUGCAGCCAGGCAGAGCCAGAGCAGCUCUGCCGGCGCUUUGGCGCCGUCUGGCGGACACCUGCCGUAACAGCAACGCUCUGCCUUCUCUGGCACCCCAGGGGAGAAAGCGGCCUGGUCUGCAGGGCCUGGGGCACUCGCCAGCGUGAUCUCCACACCCCUCACCCUCGCCGCACGUUGAAAUGCACCAGGGGCGUGGGGAAGACCCUCGCAAGGUCGGCCAGGCCUCUCGCCCCCAACGAAACCGCCCCACUCACUGACAUCAGACGCCCUGCUCCUUAAGGCAAGGCAGCCGGCUGUCAACCAAUCGGCCCCUUCCGCCCUUGCGCCCGGCGUGAAGUUAAGGCGCUCCCGGGCACCGUUCUCUCUUCCUCGAUUCGGGUAGGCUUCUUGGCACAGGCAGGCAGGCAGGCAGGCAGGCAGGCAGGCAGUCGGCAGAGGGAGAGGCGGCUCUGGUGGAGAGAGAAGCAGGGGGAUGUGGAGAUUUCUGGAGGGGACGCGCACACGGAGAGGCUCGGCACGCCUCCCCAGAUACCACCGCAGUGACACACCGCCUUCACUACCUGAAGCCCAGCCUUCCAGAGGCCGGAUGCCUCCCCUGCCUGACUCUAGAAAUCCGCAUGUCCAGGACUCAAGCUGGGUCCCAGCGCCGUGCCCCCCAAGGAGCAAAGGGCACGCAGGCCCUCGACGGCCCGUCCAGCGCUCCAGUUGCUGGGGCACAGACUGCAUGUUGACACAAAACGGCCACAGCGUCACAGGUACCCGGUACACCAACACAAGGCUCUGUCUGGGCCCUCCUUGCGUUUCCUUCCAUCCUGCUCCAGGCCCAUUCUGAGCCUGGAGUUGCAGCCAGGCAGAGCCAGAGCAGCUCUGCCGGCGCUUUGGCGCCGUCUGGCGGACACCUGCCGUAACAGCAACGCUCUGCCCUUCUCUGGCACCCCCAGGGGGAGAAAGCGCCUGGUCUGCAGGGGCCUGGGGCAC